rnacentral:rRNA from 1 species
GGCCACAGCCAUUUCACCCUGCAGCCCAAGACCGGUUACUCACAGAAGCUAAGCAGAGCUGGGUCUGGUCAGAACCUGGAUGGGAGACUACAUGGAAAAACUAGGUUGCUGUUGCAA